rnacentral:tRNA from 1 species
GCCCCCAUGGCACAGCUGGAUAGCGCGGUCCCCUCCUAAGGGACAGGUCAGUGGUUCGAAUCCACUUGGGGGCA